rnacentral:misc_RNA from 1 species
GAUGAAGAACGUAGCGAAAUGCGAUAAGUAAUGUGAAUUGCAGAAUUCAGUGAAUCAUCGAAUCUUUGAACGCACAUUGCGCCCGCUAGUAUUCUGGCGGGCAUGCCUGUCCGAGCGUCAUUUCAACCCUCAAGCCCUCGGGCUUGGUGUUGGGGAUCGGCGAGCCUCCGCGCCCGCCGUCCCCUAAAUCUAGUGGCGGUCUCGCUGUAGCUUCCUCUGCGUAGUAGCACACCUCGCACUGGGAAACAGCGCGGCCACGCCGUUAAACCCCCAACUUCUGAACGUUUGACCUCGGAUCAGGUAGGAAUACCCGCUGAACUUAAGCAUAUCAAUAAGCGGAGGA